GUAAUCGCAGGUCAGCUAAACUGCGGUGAAUACGUUCUCAAGUCUUGUACUCACCGCCCGUCAAGUCAAGGGAGCCGGGAAUACCCGAAGUCUCUACAUAAGUGGGGCCUAAGGUAAGCUUGGUAACAGGGACUAAGUCGUAACAAGGCACGGGUAGCGGAAGCUGCUCGUGGAA
rnacentral:rRNA from 1 species